rnacentral:rRNA from 1 species
UACGUAGGGGGCAAGCGUUGUCCGGAAUCAUUGGGCGUAAAGAGCGUGUAGGCGGCCCGGUAAGUCCGCUGUGAAAGUCCAGGGCUCAACCCUCGGAUGCCGGUGGAUACUGUCGGGCUUGAGUACGGAAGAGGCGAGUGGAAUUCCUGGUGUAGCGGUGAAAUGCGCAGAUAUCAGGAGGAACACCAAUUGCGAAGGCAGCUCGCUGGGACGGUACUGACGCUGAGACGCGAAAGCGUGGGAGCGAACAGG